rnacentral:rRNA from 1 species
AAGUAAAUAUUUAUUUUUAUUAUUAGGAUUGAUGAUUUAUUUAAAGGAAUAAUUUUGUUUUAUUAGUUAGUGCGAACAAAGGAGUUUGUGGAUUAUGAUAUUUUACUAGUAUUGUGAAAGAAAUUUUUGAUUUAAUGGAAAGAAAAAUUAAUUUUUUGUACCUUGUGUAUCAGGGCUUAUAAAUUAAAAUUUAAAAAUUUUAAGUUUCUCGAAUUUAAAAGAGUUAUGGUUAUAUGUUUUUUAUUGUGGAAGAAAUAAUGAUAAUAUGAUUGUUGGAGUGAAAUGCUAUUCGAUUUUAAAUAUAUCUAGUUUUUUAAGAAAAAGAUGCAAUCUUAUUUUUAUUUAUUAUGGUUUUAUUUGUUUAGAGUUAUAAUAGUAAAUUUAUAUGUUUAAGGGGAUGAGCUUUUAAGCGGAUAAAUACAAUUUAAGAAUAAAAAUAUUUAAAUCUUUAAGUAGAAUUGAAAGUUUUUAUCUUUUAAAGUGUGUUGUUACUAGAGGAAUGGUCUUAGAAGAAUUUUUAUUUUGUUUAUUUGGUUAUUAAAAUUUAAACUUUAACGAUAGAGGUUUAGUAAUAAUGAUAAAAUUAGUAUAAUUGGUUGUAGAUUUUAUUUGUAGGUAAGAGGUUUUGAAAAGGAAUUCGGCAAAAUAUUUUUUCACCUGUUUAAUAAAAACAUGGCUUAUUGAAUAUAAUUUUAAGUCUGGCCUGCCCGCUGAAUUGUUGAAUGGCCGCGGUACAUUGACCGUGCAAAGGUAGCAUAAUCAGUAGUUUUUUAAUUGAAAGCUUGUAUGAAAGGUUCGAUGAGAGAGAUACUGUCUCUAGAGAAUUUUAUUAGAAUUUUAUUUUUAAGUUAAAAAGCUUAAAUGAAAAUAGAAGACGAGAAGACCCUAUAGAGUUUAAUAAAUUAAAGUUUGUUCAAUUUUAGGAAUUUUAUUUUAAACUUAUWAAAAUUUAUUUUGUUGGGGUGAUGAGAAAAUUAAACAAACUUUUCUUUUAUUUUAUAUUGAUUAAUAGGUAAGUGAUCCUUGUUUAAAGAUAAAAAGAUAAAAUUACCUUAGGGAUAACAGCGUAAUUUUUUUUAGAGUUCUUAUCGAAUAAGAAGAUUGCGACCUCGAUGUUGGAUUAAAAUGAAUAGUUGGUGCAGAAGCUAACAGAUUAGGUCUGUUCGACCUUUAAAAUUUUACAUGAUCUGAGUUUAAACCGGUGUGAGCCAGGUUGGUUUCUAUCUCUAUAAAAUGCUAGUAUUUUAGUACGAAAGGACCAAGUGCUAAGUUUAAAAUUUGUAUUAGAGUGAUAUUAA